UCUUGAAAUCUCCAACAUCUGAGCACGUUAACAAACAUUCCAUCUUCUUUCCAGCAGGGAGAAGGGCAGGAGCCAGGCUCCAGUGAAUCCAGGGGGCGGCUGGAAGGCCUGGGCUGCUGCUCAUUCCCAUUUCCCUGGCACCAGGGAGUGCAGGAACCCCCAGGAGAAGGAGGGGAGAGCCACGGAUCCCUCGGUGCCAGGCAGGAGCAUUGCCCAGGGAUAGUCCUGGAAUGUCAGUGCCAUUAAAAAAGGGAUGAAAGGGCUCUAUGCUGUCUACAGAGUGUGGAUAAUUAAUGAAAUGCAGGAUAAUUUAAUGAAGAUAUUUUCAGGAGCUCAGGGUUUGAUGGGUUUGGGAAUUUAUUCCAUUAAACCUUCAGUUCUCAGCGGAAGAGAACUGGAUCAGUGACCCCUAAAACAGUCCUGCCAUAAACCCAACCACACCGUGCCCUCCUCUGGAAUAUCUGCCCCUGGAAUAUCUCCUCUGGAAUAUCUCCUCUGGAAUAUCUGCCUCUGGAAUAUCUGCCCCUGGAAUAUCUCCUCUGGAAUAUCUGCCUCUGGAAUGUCUGCCUCUGGAAUGUCUGCCUCUGGAAUAUCUGCCUCUGGAAUGUCUGCCUCUGGAAUGUCUGCCUCUGGAAUGUCUCCUCUGGAAUGUCUGCCUCUGGAAUAUCUGCCCCUGGAAUGUCUGCCUCUGGAAUGUCUGCCUCUGGAAUAUCUGCCUCUGGAAUGUCUGCCUCUGGAAUGUCUGCCCCUGGAAUAUCUGCCCCUGGAAUGUCUGCCUCUGGAAUAUCUCCUCUGGAAUAUCUCCUCUGGAAUGUCUGCCUCUGGAGUCAAUCAUCUGGAGAGGAGAUGAUUUCUCCUGGCAGCUCUCGGAGCUGUCCCAGCUCCUGGGGACGCCACUGGUGCCUCUGGAUGUUUGGUGCAGCAGGAUCACGUGUCAGACUUCAUCACAAAAUUCAUCCCAAAUUCUCUCCAGAUGCAGUUUGACUUCUCUCCCUCUGCAUUUAUCACUCCAAUGUGAAAACAAACACGUCCAGCUCCAAAUGUUUUUCUGGGUGAUAUAGGGAAUGUUUCUGGCUGCCCUCAGCUGUCACUGAACACACAGACCUGCCUCUGUAGGGAUAAUGAAAAUAAAUCAUCAUUUUGUGUUGUUCCA
rnacentral:lncRNA from 1 species